UGUAAUCUGUGAUGUGUUUGCACGUCAAUGGUUGAUCGGUGCAUGCCUCCACAAGCACGAUUUGCGUGGAUCGAGAUCAAGGGUUGAUUGGAGAUGGAUUAAGGAGUUGAUCACAAUUGGACCAAGAGUGCUCAAGAUCGAGUCAAGAGUUGAAGACGAUCUAACCAAUUGACGUACAUGUGCUUGUACUAUGACCCCAUCCUGGAUCCAUGAUCAUCACCAAUUAUUUUGUGAUUACGCCUUAUUGUUUAUGUUUAUGUUUAUUCAUAGUGGGUAGAUAAUUAUUUGCAUGAGAUGUAGAUAAUUAAAUGAAAGAGACCUAAAUUAAAUCUUCUCGAAAAUAUUAAUUCUAGCGGUCUUCCACCGUAGUAGAGCUGCUAAGAUCUUUUCGGCGUUGAUUUAUCUCGGCUGGAUACAGUGGGCAAUUUGCAUCGAGGGACUGGACCUCUCUAUUUGGCAUGAGAUGUUGUAGGGGUAAAGAUGGGGUUGGGCCCAA
rnacentral:lncRNA from 1 species